UACGGAGGGAGCAAGCGUUACUCGGAAUUAUUGGGCGUAAAGGGCGCGUAGGCGAUCCAGCAAGUCAGCUGUGAAAGCCCCGGGCUUAACUCGGGAAGUGCAGCUGAUACUGCUGGAAUUGAGUUCCGGAGAGGAAGAUGGAAUUCCCGGUGUAGCGGUGAAAUGCGUAGAGAUCGGGAGGAACACCAGUGGCGAAGGCGAUCUUCUGGACGGAUACUGACGCUGAGGCGCGAAAGCUAGGGGAGCAAAC
rnacentral:rRNA from 1 species